rnacentral:rRNA from 1 species
AGUGAACGCUGGCGGUAGGCCUAACACAUGCAAGUCGAACGGCAGCACAGGAGAGCUUGCUCUCUAGGUGGCGAGUGGCGGACGGGUGAGGAAUACAUCGGAAUCUGCCCAGUCGUGGGGGAUAACGUAGGGAAACUUACGCUAAUACCGCAUACGACCUUCGGGUGAAAGAGGGGGACCGCAAGACCUCUCGCGAUUGGAUGAGCCGAUGUCGGAUUAGCUAGUUAGCGGGGUAAUGGCCCACCAAGGCGACGAUCCGUAGCUGGUCUGAGAGGAUGAUCAGCCACGCUGGAACUGAGACACGGUCCAGGCUCCUACGGGAGGCAGCAGUGGGGAAUAUUGGACAAUGGGCGCAAGCCUGAUCCAGCCAUACCGCGUGGGUGAAGAAGGCCUUCGGGUUGUAAAGCCCUUUUGUUGGGAAAGAAAUCUUUCAGGCUAAUACCCUGGGAGGAUGACGGUACCCAAAGAAUAAGCACCGGCUAACUUCGUG